GCUCCUGUGGCGGAAUUGGCAGACGCGCUAGACUUAGGAUCUAGUACUUCACGGUGUAAGAGUUCAACUCUCUUCGGGAGCACCA
rnacentral:tRNA from 1 species